CCNCUCAGAUUUAACGCUGGCGGCAGGCCUAACACAUGCAAGUCGAGCGGUAGAGAGAAGCUUGCUUCUCUUGAGAGCGGCGGACGGGUGAGUAAUGCCUAGGAAUCUGCCUGGUAGUGGGGGAUAACGUUCGGAAACGAACGCUAAUACCGCAUACGUCCUACGGGAGAAAGCAGGGGACCUUCGGGCCUUGCGCUAUCAGAUGAGCCUAGGUCGGAUUAGCUAGUUGGUGAGGUAAUGGCUCACCCAAGGCGANCGAUCCGUAACUGGUCUGAGAGGAUGAUCAGUCACACUGGAACUGAGACACGGUCCAGACUCCUACGGGAGGCAGCAGUGGGGAAUAUUGGACAAUGGGCGAAAGCCUGAUCCAGCCAUGCCGCGUGUGUGAAGAAGGUCUUCGGAUUGUAAAGCACUUUAAGUUGGGAGGAAGGGCAGUUACCUAAUACGUGAUUGUUUUGACGUUACCGACAGAAUAAGCACCGGCUAACUCUGUGCCAGCAGCCGCGGUAAUACAGAGGGUGCAAGCGUUAAUCGGAAUUACUGGGCGUAAAGCGCGCGUAGGUGGUUUGUUAAGUUGGAUGUGAAAUCCCCGGGCUCAACCUGGGAACUGCAUUCAAAACUGACUGACUAGAGUAUGGUAGAGGGUGGUGGAAUUUCCUGUGUAGCGGUGAAAUGCGUAGAUAUAGGAAGGAACACCAGUGGCGAAGGCGACCACCCUGGACUAAUACUACACUAGUCRAAGCG
rnacentral:rRNA from 1 species